rnacentral:tRNA from 10 species
GGGGAUAUGGCGAAAUGGUAGACGCAGCGGACUCAAAAUCCGUUGGUUUCACAGGACCGUGAGGGUUCGACUCCCUCUAUCCCCA